GUCCACGCCGUAAACGGUGGGUGCUAGGUGUGGGAGACUAUCUACGUUUUCCGCGCCGCAGCUAACGCAUUAAGCACCCCGCAUGGGGAGUACGGCCGCAAGGCUAAAACUCAAAGGAAUUGACGGGGGCCCGCACAAGCGGCGGAGCAUGCGGCUUAAUUCGAUGCAACGCGAAGAACCUUACCUAGGCUUGACAUAUACGGGAAGCAGGCAGAGAUGUCUGUGCCUUCGGGCUCGUAUACAGGUGGUGCAUGGCUGUCGU
rnacentral:rRNA from 1 species